rnacentral:rRNA from 1 species
GGAUUCCCCUAGUAACUGCGAGUGAAGCGGGAAAAGCUCAAAUUUAAAAUCUGGCGGUCUCUGGCCGUCCGAGUUGUAAUCUAGAGAAGUGUUAUCCGCGCUGGACCGUGUACAAGUCUCCUGGAAUGGAGCAUCAUAGAGGGUGAGAAUCCCGUCUUUGACACGGACUANCCAGGGCUUUGUGAUGCGCUCUCAAAGAGUCGAGUUGUUUGGGAAUGCAGCUCAAAAUGGGUGGUAAAUUCCAUCUAAAGCUAAAUAUUGGCGAGAGACCGAUAGCGAACAAGUACCGUGAGGGAAAGAUGAAAAGAACUUUGGAAAGAGAGUUAAACAGUACGUGAAAUUGCUGAAAGGGAAACGCUUGAAGUCAGUCGCGUUGGCCGGGGAUCAACCUUGCUUUUGCUGGGCGUACUUUCCGGUUGACGGGUCAGCAUCAAUUUUGACCGUUGGAUAAAGUCUAGGGGAAUGUGGCAUCUUCGGAUGUGUUAUAGCCCUUGGUCGCAUACAACGGUUGGGAUUGAGGAACUCAGCACGCCGCAAGGCCGGGUACUUGUACCACGUUCGUGCUUAGGAUGCUGGCAUAAUNGGCUUUAAUCGACCCGUCUUGAAACACGGANCCAAGGAGUCUAACAUGCCUGCGAGUGUUUNGGGUGGAAAACUCGAACGCGUAAUGAAAGUGAAAGUUGAGAUCCCUGUCGUGGGGAGCAUCGACGCCCGGACCAGACCUUUUGUGACGGAUCCGCGGUAGAGCAUGUAUGUUGGGACCCGAAAGAUGGUGAACUAUGCCUGAAUAGGGUGAAGCCAGAGGAAACUCUGGUGGAGGCUCGUAGCGAUUCUGACGUGCAAAUCGAUCGUCAAAUUUGGGUAUAGGGGCGAAAGAC